UCGUGUCUACGCGCAAUUUAUGUAUAGUUGACCAGGAAAUUAAAGCAGCGAUCACUUGGACUAUUCCGCAGCACCCCUCUCACAUUGGUACAUCCCCCCCCCUCCCCCGGUAUUCAUUGUCUUCUACAGUAGAGCGGGACAUUUAAUUUACUCUCAGCGGAAUUGACCGGAGAAGGCAUCAGUUCAUGCACUGCACUGGCCCGCACCACGAUUAGUAUAAGGCACAUUUCACGAAGCAGAACGCAGUCUUCAGAGAUAUCCACGUGAACGCUGUGAUACGUCUGACCUUCAGUCCGAAGAAGAAACUCAGACCAGUCUUAAAAGAAAGCACAAACCAAAUCCCCUGUACACAUAUACGGACUCAGAGGAUGAGCAGCCUACAAAAAAACGGUUUCCCCAGGCCCCUCGAGUGAAAAUACCAG